UACGUAGGGGGCAAGCGUUGUCCGGAAUCAUUGGGCGUAAAGAGCGUGUAGGCGGCCCGUUAAGUCCGUUGUGAAAGUCCAGGGCUCAACCCUGGAAUGCCGGUGGAUACUGUCGGGCUCGAAUCCGGAAGAGGUGAGUGGAAUUCCUGGUGUAGCGGUGAAAUGCGCAGAUAUCAGGAGGAACACCAAUGGCGAAGGCAGCUCACUGGGACGGUAUUGACGCUGAGACGCGAAAGCGUGGGGAGCAAACGGG
rnacentral:rRNA from 1 species